rnacentral:rRNA from 1 species
UACGUAGGGGGCUAGCGUUGUCCGGAAUCAUUGGGCGUAAAGCGCGUGUAGGCGGUCCGGUAAGUCCGCUGUGAAAGUCGGGGGCUCAACCCUCGAAUGCCGGUGGAUACUGUCGGGCUAGAGUACGGAAGAGGCGAGUGGAAUUCCUGGUGUAGCGGUGAAAUGCGCAGAUAUCAGGAGGAACACCGAUUGCGAAGGCAGCUCGCUGGGACGUUACUGACGCUGAGACGCGAAAGCGUGGGGAGCAAACAGG